rnacentral:rRNA from 1 species
GAUGAACGCUAGCGACAGGCCUAACACAUGCAAGUCGAGGGGCAGCAUGAAAGUAGCUUGCUACUUUUGAUGGCGACCGGCGCACGGGUGCGUAACAGGUGUGCAAUCUGUCCAUAAUCGGGGAAUAGCCCAGCGAAAGUUGGAUUAAUGCUCCAUGUGAGUUUUAGAGGCAUCUCUUUAAUUUGAAACGCAAGGAUUAUGGGUGAGCACGCUUCUGAUUAGGUAGUUGGUGAGGUAACGGCUCACCAAGCCGACGAUCAGUAGGGGUUCUGAGAGGAAGGUCCCCCACAUUGGAACUGAGACACGGUCCAAACUCCUACGGGAGGCAGCAGUGAGGAAUAUUGGUCAAUGGACGCAAGUCUGAACCAGCCAAGUCGCGUGGAGGAUGAAGGUUCUAUGGAUUGUAAACUUCUUUUGUCUGAGGGUAAAAAAGCGGACGUGUCCGUUCUUGCAAGUAUCAGACGAAUAAGCAUCGGCUAACUCCGUGCCAGCAGCCGCCGUAAAAC